AUUGAACGCUGACGGCAGGCUUAACACAUGCAAGUCGAGCGGGGGAAGGUAGCUUGCUACUGGACCUAGCGGCGGACGGGCGAGUAAUGCUUAGGAAUCUGCCUAUUAGUGGGGGACAACAUCUCGAAAGGGAUGCUAAUACCGCAUACGUCCUACGGGAGAAAGCAGGGGAUCUUCGGACCUUGCGCUAAUAGAUGAGCCUAAGUCGGAUUAGCUAGUUGGUGGGGUAAAGGCCUACCAAGGCGACGAUCUGUAGCGGGUCUGAGAGGAUGAUCCGCCACACUGGGACUGAGACACGGCCCAGACUCCUACGGGAGGCAGCAGUGGGGAAUAUUGGACAAUGGGGGGAACCCUGAUCCAGCCAUGCCGCGUGUGUGAAGAAGGCCUUAUGGUUGUAAAGCACUUUAAGCGAGGAGGAGGCUACUCUAGUUAAUACCUAGGGAUAGUGGACGUUACUCGCAGAAUAAGCACCGGCUAACUCUGUGCCAGCCGCCGCGGUAA
rnacentral:rRNA from 1 species